rfam:Schistosoma mattheei strain Denwood, Zambia genome assembly, scaffold: SMTD_scaffold0002976
AUCCGUCUGAAGAGUCCAAACUGGGACGAAACGCGCGUCCUGUAU